AUGAUUUGAUGUGGCAUACAAAAAUAUAUAAGAGGGUACAAAUCGAUUUGGGGUAGGGGUAUAAAACUGACUUGGACUAGAAGUCGUAUAGCAUAAUGACUACUCUAACACAAAGGAAGGAGACGUGGUGUCUUCGCUGGUACAGGGAGGCCCGUAUGAGCAGUUGAACCGGGAAGGGCCACCUCAAAAGAAAAACAGGAGUAGGAAGUAGUGGCGGCAGAAAAAAACAAAGAUUCUACUGGGCAAAGUCAAACAAAAAAAAUACCUGCACCGACCAACCAACGUAUCUCGUGAGUCCUCGAAUCCCGGGUUCAGAGGUUUCCUGGGCUUUCUUGUCGGGAUCCACUUGUAGGUAGUCAGGCUGACUGGGGAGGCCGGCCCGUGCUCGGAUUCACGAGGAGGCUUGAAAAGAUAUGCCCAGCCGUACACGAGGUUGGGCAUUUGCUCUGGUGCUAGAAGCCCAGAUAGCAGCUGGAGAUCGACGAACUCCGAUCCCUCCUAGUGCGGCGGCACACAGCAGAUCUAAGGAAUCUUUUUUUUACGCUGGCAUUUUUUGGCAGCAGGAUGGAUGGUAAUUACCUGCUGCCCACUGCUCUGAAUGGCUGGAACACUAGCGACGUCGACGGAAGCAGGGACGAUGGCUCCUGCAAACACGCUUUCAGUCGGAACAGCGCUAACGUGGUUGCUUGCCCUGCUUGCACGACGAUCUCCAGACGGACCCAGCCCCUUGUUACAAUGAAACCCGAACUGCGUUGCUGGUUGUAGAGAAGGGGGAGGCGAAGGCUAAGGGGAGAAAUGUUAUGACUGAAAAUCCUUAGAAGCAAAAACAAUAAAGCCGGGCAGCCACCUCUUGGACGCUGGCCUUGAUGCCUUUGAUGCUUUCUGAACUGUGGAUGUUUGGUUGUAGCUUGAGGUUUCAUGCAUCUGGUUGACUCGACUUGGGGCCUGACAAUGUACCUCCUUCCAACCACAGGACCAAUGGAGAUGCUGCCUGCCUCCUCACAUUAAUGGAGGCUGCUACUAGACUGUUAUCUUUGCUACGGCCAUCCGAUCAGUGCCGCGAUGCGGGCGAACACACGUGGCGUUGACAUCGGGAGGUCUCUCUGGAACAUAGGAGACGGAGACGCCAGCCGGGGAGGCGGCGAGCGAAUCCUUUCGCCGGCGGCUGCAGUGGAGGUUGCCCGGAGCUGGCGACGGCGCCAUCCCGUCCCAGAGCUCGAGUGGAGACACUCAUGGCGGCUUGAUCUGUAAGUGCUCCAUCUGUAGCUAGCUAGCUAGGGUUCCUGCAACGAAAGGAUUUCGUCCACCAUUAGGUUGUGAGUGUUCAGGACCAAGAUGGAGUCUGCAUUUUUUUAAUCUGACAUCCACUUGAUGUGCCACUUCCUAGUUCAGACAUACGAAGACAAAAGCUUCCCGAUCUCUCUGUGCAUACACUCACUUUUAUACAGGAUUAAGUUCAGGUA